AUGAACGCUGGCGGCGUGCCUAAUACAUGCAAGUCGAGCGAACAGACGAGGAGCUUGCUCCUCUGAUGUUAGCGGCGGACGGGUGAGUAACACGUGGAUAACCUACCUAUAAGACUGGGAUAACUUCGGGAAACCGGAGCUAAUACCGGAUAACAUGUUGAACCGCAUGGUUCAACAGUGAAAGACGGUCUUGCUGUCACUUAUAGAUGGAUCCGCGCCGCAUUAGCUAGUUGGUAAGGUAACGGCUUACCAAGGCAACGAUGCGUAGCCGACCUGAGAGGGUGAUCGGCCACACUGGAACUGAGACACGGUCCAGACUCCUACGGGAGGCAGCAGUAGGGAAUCUUCCGCAACGGGCGAAAGCCUGACGAAGCAACGCCGCGUGAGUGAAGAAGGUCUUCGGAUCGUAAAACUCUGUUAUUAGGGAAGAACAAAUGUGUAAGUAACUAUGCACGUCUUGACGGUACCUAAUCAGAAAGCCACGGCUAACUACGU
rnacentral:rRNA from 1 species